rnacentral:ncRNA from 22 species
GACAAAACCGCCUGUCAUAGUGUAAAAUAACAAAAUAAUGUAACGGAGUACAGACAGGGAAUCCGGUGGAAAUCCGGAACAGCCCCGCUGCUGUAACUGGGACGAAAGCGCACCAUGCCACUGCCGAAGGCGGGAAGGCGCGCCGUAGGAUGAUCAGGAGUCAGAACAUCUGCCGUAUCCGUAUGAGUUGUA